rnacentral:rRNA from 1 species
ACGGGGGGAGCUAGCGUUGUCCGGAAUCAUUGGGCGUAAAGGGCAUGUAGGUGGGACUUUAAGUCAAUUGUUAAAUCGUACGGCUUAACCGUAUUAUGCAGUUGAUACUGGAGUUCUUGAGUGUGAGAGGGGACAGAGGAAUACCUGGUGUAGCGGUGGAAUGCGUAGAUAUUAGGUAGAACACUUGAGGCGAAGGCGUCUGUCUGGCUCAUCACUGACACUGAAAUGCGAAAGUAUGGGGAGCAAACAGGAUUAGAUACCCUGGUAGUCCAUACUGUAAACGAUGGGUACUAGGUGUCGGGGGGACUAGCCCUCUCGGUGCCGUAGCAAACGCGUUAAGUACCCCGCCUGGGGAAUACGAUCGCAAGGUUG